AUGCCCCUGCUUACGUGAUACUGAAGAACCUAAAUAUUAUCAGCACUGGUGUAUUAUACCGUAUCAUUCUAAAGAGGAAGUAAGAUUAAGUGAAGUCCAGUGGGCUGCUUUUAUUCUCUUAUGUGCUUUUUGUACUACCGCACAACUUAAUGCAUCUUCAGAUCGUGUU